CUAUAAACCCACCAUCCCAAAUGAGUGAGUUGAGUCCUUACAUCCCUUUGCUCCUCUCAGUACUGAGAACAUUUCCUAAUCACUUCCCUCAGACCCUUUGGUCUCUCCCACUCUCUGUAAGUGUACCAAAGGUUUUCUAGUUGAGGUCUGAAGUUGGAGGAUGGAAGAUGUGGAUUCCCAUCUGUUCCACUGGGUACCAACCUCCGAACCUGUAGCGGUACCGCAGCAGGAAGACAUGGCAAGAAUUUGGAUUAAAGGCCAAGGGAUCCUUGUACUCCAUGGUGAUUCCCCUUGUGAAGUAUCCUCUUCUUCUUAGUUCCCGGAUGGUGCUAUCCUAGCUGAGCUUUUCUCCCCUCUCUUCUUGUCUAUCCUUCUUCACACCAUGGCUUGCAGGUUAAACUGUUCUUGACCUUGUAAGACCUUUUCUUGACCUUGUAAGGCCAAAUUCUCUAUUUAAUCCCCUCGUCUCCAAACUCCACGUGGAGUGAGUCAAUACGAACUAUAUUCCUAUCUUCGUGCCCUCCUCUUCCCCUCUCCUCCCCUCUAUCCCUCCUGAGCUAUUUUGCUUAUAUUUACUCCACCGUAUGGUUGUCAUCUGUAGCAUGUUACUUGUGCAACUGUGUCGACGAUACUGUGUCUUUGUAUUCGGUGGGGUUUCACAUGUGGUUAAGGCAGUGUAUUAUUCUUCUUGUGACCCAUCGAGGAUAUGGAUCCUUACAGUCCUUUGUUUUGUAUGGCAGUCUGCUAUGAUACAUACCCCAUGUCUUUUGGUAAAGCUCUCCUCAUCAUGUUGAA